rnacentral:rRNA from 1 species
GUUGGCUAUUACCCUUAUACCCUGAACACAACAAAUCUCAGCUGAUUUCAGCAGCUAAGCAGGAUCAGGCCUGAUUAGCAUCUGGAUGGGAGGUUACCAAGGAACACCAGCCAUCCCUAGGU